rnacentral:rRNA from 1 species
GACGAACGCUGGCGGCGUGCCUAAUACAUGCCAGUCGAACGCUGAAGGAGGAGCUUGCUUCUCUGGAUGAGUUGCGAACGGGUGAGUAACGCGUAGGUAACCUGCCUGGUAGCGGGGGAUAACUAUUGGAAACGAUAGCUAAUACCGCAUAAGAUUGACUAUUGCAUGAUAGUCAGUUAAAAGGUGCAAUUGCAUCACUACCAGAUGGACCUGCGUUGUAUUAGCUAGUUGGUGGGGUAACGGCUCACCAAGGCGACGAUACAUAGCCGACCUGAGAGGGUGAUCGGCCACACUGGGACUGAGACACGGCCCAGACGCCUACGGGAGGCAGCAGUAGGGAAUCUUCGGCAAUGGACGGAAGUCUGACCGAGCAACGCCGCGUGAGUGAAGAAGGGUGUCGGAUCGUAAAGCUCUGUUGUAAGAGAAGAACGAGUGUGAGAGUGGAAAGUUCACACUGUGACGGUAGCUUACCAGAAAGGGACGGCUAACUACGUG